rnacentral:rRNA from 1 species
AAGCAUAUCAAUAAGCGGAGGAAAAGAAACCAACAGGGAUUGCCCUAGUAACGGCGAGUGAAGCGGCAACAGCUCAAAUUUGAAAUCUGGCGCAAGCCCGAGUUGUAAUUUGUAGAGGAUGCUUCUGGGUAGCGGCCGGUCUAAGUUCCUUGGAACAGGACGUCAUAGAGGGUGAGAAUCCCGUAUGUGACUGGCUUGCACCCUCCACGUAGCUCCUUCGACGAGUCGAGUUGUUUGGGAAUGCAGCUCUAAAUGGGAGGUAAAUUUCUUCUAAAGCUAAAUACCGGCCAGAGACCGAUAGCGCACAAGUAGAGUGAUCGAAAGAUGAAAAGCACUUUGGAAAGAGAGUUAAAAAGCACGUGAAAUUGUUGAAAGGGAAGCGCCCGCAACCAGACUUUGCGGCAGUGUUCGGCCGGUCUUCUGACCGGUUUACUCGCUGUCGUGAGGCCAUCAUCGUCUGGGACCGCUGGAUAAGACCUUAGGAAUGUGGCUCCCCUCGGGGAGUGUUAUAGCCUCUGGUGAUGCAGCGCGUCUCGGGCGAGGUCCGCGCUUCGGCAAGGAUGAUGGCGUAAUGGUUGUCGGCGGCCCGUCUUGAAACACGGACCAAGGAGUCUAACAUCUAUGCGAGUGUUCGGGUGUCAAACCCCUACGCGUAAUGAAAGUGAACGGAGGUGGGAACUUUUUGUGCACCAUCGACCGAUCCUGAUGUCCUCGGAUGGAUUUGAGUAAGAGCAUAGCUGUUGGGACCCGAAAGAUGGUGAACUAUGCCUGAAUAGGGUGAAGCCAGAGGAAACUCUGGUGGAGGCUCGCAGCGGUUCUGACGUGCAAAUCGAUCGUCAAAUUUGGGUAUAGGGGCGAAAGACUAA